UACGUUCCCGGGCCUUGUACACACCGCCCGUCAAGUCACGAAAGUCGGUAACACCCGAAGCCCAUGGCCCAACCGUUCGCGGGGGGAGUGGUCGAAGGUGGGACUGGCGAUUGGGACUAAGUCGUAACAAGGUACCC
rnacentral:rRNA from 1 species